AAAGUAAUAAAAAUCCCGGAAGAGGAUCAAACAGUUCGCACGAAGCCAAAAUAUGGCAAUCAGCCCAAAUCAGGAUGAUAGAAAUUAAGUUUCAGUCAAAUACGCAGUAAAAUCAUCAACCAGGACAGACCAAGUCACAAUCUCCAAUAGUACAUGAUCCCACGCCCGUUAUCCAUCGUGUGUCUCGCCUCAAUAUAGCACAAUGAUGUACAAUCCGAGGUUUCAAACCCUGGGAGCAUCAUUUACUAUCAAUACUCACCUCGAACCAAAUAAAUCUCUAGCUCGUGAUGCCUUUUCCACUUGAAUCGGCCUCCAAGUGUGUCGAAUCAAUCCAAAACCAGAACGAAUACGUCAAAAUGCGUUAAGGGGACAAAGCCCAAGCAAAAAC
rnacentral:lncRNA from 1 species